UACGUAGGGCGCAAGCGUUGUCCGGAAUUAUUGGGCGUAAAGAGCUCGUAGGCGGUCUGUUGCGUCCGCUGUGAAAACUCGGGGCUUAACCCCGAGCCUGCAGUGGAUACGGGCAGACUAGAGGUAGGUAGGGGAGAAUGGAAUUCCUGGUGUAGCGGUGGAAUGCGCAGAUAUCAGGAGGAACACCGGUGGCGAAGGCGGAUCUCUGGGCCAUAACUGACGCUGAGGAGCGAAAGCAUGGGGAGCGAACAGG
rnacentral:rRNA from 1 species